CAUGCGUACUGAGAGGGAUAUCCGGAAUGAAAUGGUUCUCCAUGAGAGCCACAAGCGAACAUUCAACAACUUGAAAACUGGAUUGAAAAUGAGAGACAGAGCAGCCACUGCAGAAGCUUCCAAAAUCACUCUGCACUUUCUUGAACUGCUGCAAUCCACGUGGUGAUGUAGCUCCCAUGUUGCAAAUUGGAUGCUGUUCAGUUUCUGUCAACGUUCUGAGUCCUCGAAUUUCAACAGGACUGCCACUUCCAUACUAUCUUCAGAGCUUCUCUACCCCACCGUCAGCUCACAGCUGGGUGAGUAAUACUUACAUGACUAUCAGAAGCUAUACAGAUAGUUUCAGAGCCCUAAGUAACUGUUGAUGUUUCGCUGUUAUGGACCUGCAGUUAAACUGUCUGAGAGAUGUUAAUGUGAAAUCAUCUCAUUCAUUUACAUACUUCUAUAAAUUAAAGUCUUUUGUCUUCAUUUGAUUCCUACGCAGAGGCUUUAAUUUAUAGAAGUAAACUCUUAUCUACCGACACAUCGGUAUGCAGACACUGCCCUGAAACUUCCUGCCCAGCUAGGAAUUCAGUGUAAUGCUUUUGUAACUCCUUAUCUUCUCACACAUCGGUAUGCAGACACUGUCUUAAGCUUCCUGACUAAAUUAAAACUAGAAUCAAACUGUUUCAAAUAGGGUUCGGUGGGGAAAUUUUGUAAAGGUGUGAAACCUCUGAAGCAUGUAACUUCUGUCACUGGCAAAGGGGCCAGGGCACUGAUUUGGUUCUAGCCAGACAAACUGGCCACUUGAAAUCUCAAUCUGUCACAGUCAACAACUCGAAAUUGCCUCCUGCCAUUAGCAGCCACUUUACUAGCAAUCGAUACUGUAUCCUGGUCUUUUAUGUUGUUGAUGUAAUAAUUGUUUGGUAUCCUGAUUUUGUCUGUUGUAGUAAUCGUUUUCUGUAUCAUGUCAUUGUAAGUUGUGAAAUCGUUUUAUGUAUCAUGUCUUUUGUAAA